AGUGAACGCUGGCGGUAGGCCUAACACAUGCAAGUCGAACGGCAGCACAGUAAGAGCUUGCUCUUACGGGUGGCGAGUGGCGGACGGGUGAGGAAUACAUCGGAAUCUACUUUUUCGUGGGGGAUAACGUAGGGAAACUUACGCUAAUACCGCAUACGACCUACGGGUGAAAGCAGGGGAUCUUGGGACCUUGCGCGAUUGAAUGGGCCGAUGUCGGAUUAGCUAGUUGGCGGGGUAAUGGCCCACCAAGGCGACGAUCCGUGGCUGGUCUGAGAGGAUGAUCAGCCACACUGGAACUGAGACACGGUCCAGACUCCUACGGGAGGCAGCAGUGGGGAAUAUUGGACAAUGGGCGCAAGCCUGAUCCAGCCAUACCGCGUGGGUGAAGAAGGCCUUCGGGUUGUAAAGCCCUUUUGUUGGGAAAGAAAAGCAGCAGGUUAAUACCCCGCUGUUCUGACGGUACCCAAAGAAUAAGCACCGGCUAACUUCGUG
rnacentral:rRNA from 1 species